UACGUAGGUCCCGAGCGUUGUCCGGAUUUAUUGGGCGUAAAGCGAGCGCAGGUGGUUUAUUAAGUCUGGCGUAAAAGGCAGUGGCUCAACCAUUGUAUGCAUUGGAAACUGGUAGACUUGAGUGCAGGAGAGGAGAGUGGAAUUCCAUGUGUAGCGGUGAAAUGCGUAGAUAUAUGGAGGAACACCGGUGGCGAAAGCGGCUCUCUGGCCUGUAACUGACACUGAGGCUCGAAAGCGUGGGGAGCAAACAGG
rnacentral:rRNA from 1 species